CAGACCGGAAGGACUGGUGGAGCGCUUAGAAGUGAGAAUGCCGGUAUGAGUAGCGAAAGACGGGUGAGAAUCCCGUCCACCGAAUGCCUAAGGUUUCCUGAGGAAGGCUCGUCCGCUCAGGGUUAGUCGGGACCUAAGCCGAGGCCGAAAGGCGUAGGCGAUGGACAACAGGUUGAUAUUCCUGUACCACCUCCUCACCAUUUGAGCAAUGGGGGGACGCAGGAGGAUAGGGUAAGCGCGGUAUUGGAUAUCCGCGUCCAAGCAGUUAGGCUGGGAAAUAGGCAAAUCCGUUUCCCGUGAAGGCUGAGCUGUGAUGGCGAGCGAAAUUUAGUAGCGAAGUUCCUGAUUCCACACUGCCAAGAAAAGCCUCUAGCGAGGUGAGAGGUGCCCGUACCGCAAACCGACACAGGUAGGCGAGGAGAGAAUCCUAAGGUGAUCGAGAGAACUCUCGUUAAGGAACUCGGCAAAAUGACCCCGUAACUUCGGGAGAAGGGGUGCUUCUUAGGGUGUUAAAGCCCCGAGAAGCCGCAGUGAAUAGGCCCAGGCGACUGUUUAGCAAAAACACAGGUCUCUGCGAAGCCGUAAGGCGAAGUAUAGGGGCUGACGCCUG
rnacentral:rRNA from 1 species